rnacentral:rRNA from 1 species
GAGUGGCGGACGGGUGAGUAAUGUCUGGGAAACUGCCUGAUGGAGGGGGAUAACUACUGGAAACGGUAGCUAAUACCGCAUAAUGUCGCAAGACCAAAGAGGGGGACCUUCGGGCCUCUUGCCAUCGGAUGUGCCCAGAUGGGAUUAGCUAGUAGGUGGGGUAACGGCUCACCUAGGCGACGAUCCCUAGCUGGUCUGAGAGGAUGACCAGCCACACUGGAACUGAGACACGGUCCAGACUCCUACGGGAGGCAGCAGUGGGGAAUAUUGCACAAUGGGCGCAAGCCUGAUGCAGCCAUGCCGCGUGUAUGAAGAAGGCCUUCGGGUUGUAAAGUACUUUCAGCGGGGAGGAAGGCGAUAAGGUUAAUAACCUUGUCGAUUGACGUUACCCGCAGAAGAAGCACCGGCUAACUCCGUGCCAGCAGCCGCGGUAAUACGGAGGGUGCAAGCGUUAAUCGGAAUUACUGGGCGUAAAGCGCACGCAGGCGGUCUGUCAAGUCGGAUGUGAAAUCCCCGGGCUCAACCUGGGAACUGCAUUCGAAACUGGCAGGCUAGAGUCUUGUAGAGGGGGGUAGAAUUCCAGGUGUAGCGGUGAAAUGCGUAGAGAUCUGGAGGAAUACCGGUGGCGAAGGCGGCCCCCUGGACAAAGACUGACGCUCAGGUGCGAA